CCUACGGGUGGCAGCAGUGGGGAAUAUUGCUCAAUGGGGGAAACCCUGAAGCAGCCACGCCGCGUGAAGGAUGAAGGUUUUCGGAUUGUAAACCCCUUUUGUUAGAGGAGUUAAUGACGGUAUCUAACGAAUAAGCACUGGCUAAUUCCGUGCCAGCAGCCGCGGUCAUACGGCGGGUGCAAGCGUUACUCGGAAUCACUGGGCGUAAAGGGCGCGUAGGCGGGAUAGCAAGUCAGAUGUGAAAUCCUAGGGCUUAACCAUAGAACUGCAUUUGAAACUGUUAGUCUUGAGUAUGGGAGAGGUAGGUGGAAUUCUUGGUGUAGGGGUAAAAUCCGUAGAGAUCAAGAGGAAUACUCAUUGCGAAGGCGACCUGCUAGAACAUAACUGACGCUGAGGCGCGAAAGCGUGGGUAGCAAACAGGAUUAGAUACCCAAGUAGUC
rnacentral:rRNA from 1 species